UACAGAGGUCUCAAGCGUUGUUCGGAUUCAUUGGGCGUAAAGGGUGCGCAGGCGGAUAUGUAAGUCAGUGGUGAAAUCUCUAGGCUUAACCUGGAAAUUGCCGUUGAUACUAUAUAUCUUGAAUGCUGUGGAGGUAAGCGGAAUAUGUCAUGUAGCGGUGAAAUGCUUAGAUAUGACAUAGAACACCUAUUGCGAAGGCAGCUUACUACGCAGAUAUUGACGCUCAUGCACGAAAGCGUGGGGAUCAAACAGG
rnacentral:rRNA from 1 species